rnacentral:rRNA from 1 species
UACAGAGGGUGCAAGCGUUUGUUCGGAAUUAUUGGGCGUAAAGCGCGUGUAGGCGGCUUUGCAAGUCUGGUGUGAAAUCCCUCGCUUAACCGAGGAAGUGCGCCAGAAACUGCAGAGCUUGAGUACCGGAGAGGAUGGUGGAAUUCCCCAAGUAGAGGUGAAAUUCGUAGAUAUGGGGAGGAACACCGGUGGCGAAGGCGACCAUCUGGACGGAUACUGACGCUGAGACGCGAAAGCGUGGGGAGCAAACAGG